rnacentral:rRNA from 1 species
CAGUAGCCACGGUAAUACAGAGGGUGCAAGCGUUAAUCGGAAUUACUGGGCGUAAAGCGCGCGUAGGUGGUUUGUUAAGUUGGAUGUGAAAUCCCCGGGCUCAACCUGGGAACUGCAUCCAAAACUGGCAAGCUAGAGUAUGGUAGAGGGUGGUGGAAUUUCCUGUGUAGCGGUGAAAUGCGUAGAUAUAGGAAGGAACACCAGUGGCGAAGGCGACCACCUGGACUGAUACUGACACUGAGGUGCGAAAGCGUGGGGAGCAAACAGGAUUAGAUACCCCUGUAGUCCCUGUCUCUUAUAU